CAGAGAUGAAGCAAACAGCCACAGUGUGAACUGUUUGUGGGAAGGAACAGCCUCUAGGAGAGGAGGGGCCACAGCCCUACAACCACAAAAAACUGAAUUCUGCCAAAAUUCAAUGAGCUGGAAAAAGAACUCCAAGCCUGGGAUGAGAUCCAGACCCAACUGACACCUUGAUUUCAUCCUGGUGAACCCUGAGCAGAGGAUCUGGUUGUGCUGUGCCCAGAAUUCUGACCAAGGAAUUGGCUCACGUGAUUAUAGAGGCCGAGAAAUCCUAAGAACUGCAGUUGGCAAGAUGGAGACCCAGGAGAGCCAACAGUAUAAGUUCUAGGGCCCCAUCCAGGAUUAUACAUUGCAUUAAGUCAUCGUAUCACCUUGGGCUCCUCUGGGCUGUGACUGGCUCACCAUGCUUCCUUGUCUUUGAUGCCCUCGAUAGUUUGGAGCAGUGCUGAUUGGGUAUUUUGUGGAAUCUCCUUCAGUUUAGAAAACAUUCCUUGCCUGGUGCCCUGACCGUUGCUGAAACCAUUCCUUGAAACGUCUCUACCUGCUGAUGUCAAUCCGCCCAACAUCCAUGCAGUUGGAUAGCUGUGUGCUGCUGCAACCUUUUGUGAGUGGGGGGAGUUUUAUUUUAAAUAGUUAUCUCUGGCCGGGCGUGGUGGCUCAUGCUUGUCAUCUCAGCACAUUGCGAGGCUGAGGUGGGUGGAUCACUUGAGGUCGAGAGUUCGAGACCAACCUGGCCAACACGGUGAAACUCCAUCUGUACUGAAAAUACAAAAAUUAGCCAGGCAUGGUGGCGCACGCCUGUAAUCCCAGCUACUUGGGAAGCUGAAACACAAGAAUUGCUUGAACCUGGGAGAUGGAGGUUGCAGUGAGCUGAGAUUGCGUCACUGUACUCCAGCCUGGGCGACAGAGCAGACUCCAUCUCAAAUAAAUAAAUAAAUACACAAA
rnacentral:lncRNA from 1 species